UGGGGAAUAUUGGACAAUGGGCGCAAGCCUGAUCCAGCAAUGCCGCGUGGGUGAAGAAGGUCUUCGGAUUGUAAAGCCCUUUCGACAGGGACGAUGAUGACGGUACCUGUAGAAGAAGCCCCGGCUAACUUCGUGCCAGCAGCCGCGGUAAUACGAAGGGGGCUAGCGUUGCUCGGAAUUACUGGGCGUAAAGGGCGCGUAGGCGGCGCUGCAAGUCAGGCGUGAAAUUCCUGGGCUUAACCUGGGGGCUGCGCUUGAGACUGUGGUGCUAGAGGAUGGAAGAGGGUCGUGGAAUUCCCAGUGUAGAGGUGAAAUUCGUAGAUAUUGGGAAGAACACCGGUGGCGAAGGCGGCGACCUGGUCCAUUACUGACGCUGAGGCGCGACAGCGUGGGGAGCAAACAGG
rnacentral:rRNA from 1 species